rnacentral:tRNA from 1 species
GCGUGAUAUUUCUUGAUAUAUGAAUAAGCAAGCUUCCCAAGCUUGUGACGCGGGUUCGACUCCCGUCGUCCGCU